UACGAAGGGGCCUCGACGUGUUGGAUUUGAUCUGGGCGUAAAGCGCACGUAGGCGGAUCGUUAAGUGAGGGGUGAAAUCCCAGGGCUCAACUGGGGAGGGUCACGCGAUACUGCUCGACUCGAAGGCAGGAGAGGGAAGUGGAAUUCCUGGUGUAGCGGUGAAAUGCGCAGAUAUCAGGAGGAACACCGGUGGCGAAGGCGGGUCUCUGGGCCGAUACUGACGCUGGAGGAGCGAAAGCGUGGGAGCGAACAGGG
rnacentral:rRNA from 1 species